GAAUUCGCCCUUAGAGUUUGAUCCUGGCUCAGGAUAAACGCUNGCGGCAGGCCUAACACAUGCAAGUCGAGGGGUAACGAUGUCUUCGGACAGGCGACGACCGGCGCACGGGUGAGUAUCGCGUUUGUAACCUACCUUUAACUGGAGAAUAGCCCGAAGAAAUUCGGAUUANNNNUCCAUAAUACUAUGAACUGNCAUCUUUUUAUAGUUAAAGCUCCGGCGGUUAAAGAUGGGCAUGCGUAACAUUAGAUUGNUGGUGAGGUAACGGCUCACCAAGUCUACGAUGUUUAGGGGGUCUGAGAGGAUGGUCCCCCACACUGNUACUGAGACACGGACCAGACUCCUACGGGAGGCAGCAGUGAGGAAUAUUGGUCANNNNGCGCAAGCCUGAACCAGCCAUGCCGCGUGAAGGAUGACAGCGCUACGCGUUGUAAACUUCUUUUGUACAGGAAGAAACGCUUCUACGUGUAGAAGUCUGACGGUACUGUACGAAUAAGCACCGGCUAACUCCGUGCCAGCAGCCGCGGUAAUACGGAGGGUGCAAGCGUUAUCCGGAUUUAUUGGGUUUAAAGGGUACGUAGGCGGAAAAUUAAGUCAGUAGUGAAAUCCUGCAGCUUAACUGUAGAACUGUUAUUGAUACUGGUUUUCUUGAAUAUAGUUGAAGUAGGCGGAAUGUGUAAUGUAGCGGUGAAAUGCUUAGAUAUUACACAGAACACCGAUUGCGAAGGCAGCUUACUAAGCUAUGAUUGACGCUGA
rnacentral:rRNA from 1 species